rnacentral:lncRNA from 1 species
UGUAGACAGUGUGUUCUUGGAGGGCAAGGACCGGAUCUGUCUUAGCUCCCUUCCUAACCAGCCGGCCCAGCGUAGGAGCUGAAGGAACAGAGGAGAACGAUCAGCCUUCUCUUACGAAGACUCUGUGUUUCACAGAUAACCCAGAUGUGUAGAGAGAUAAGCCCACCGUCACAGCAUAGGCAUGCCAAACCUCCUCUAGGUCUCUGAAUCCAAGUCCAUUUGUCUUUUCACUACACUAAAUUGUAAAAUACAGCAAAACCUAUAUUGCUCUCUGUCACACAACAUAAAUAACAGCCAGGCUUCAUAAAAUCAUGAGAGGGGAACUGGAGAAUUUCUCUACUGUCUCCCAGAUUUACCUGAUCGUAAACGUCUCUUGAAGUAUCUGGAAAUAAUGCAGGUUUGUACACCCCAGCCUCGUUCUUCCACAGCAAUAUGCAGGGGAAGGCCUAGGAAAGCGGACGUUUAACCAGCUUCUCCCUCUGCCAUUCCAUCCGCGUGACUUCUCUGGGGCUGCUGGACCGACUGCACCUCCAAGGUGGAGAUGAAAGCUGUGGACCAAAGGGCUCCACUUUGCAGCAGAGAAACGGGAAGAGAGAACCCACGCUACAGCUGCAGGUGAUUCUCAUCUACAGGGAAAUUUAGGAAACAUGAUUCCAAACCAGUGGCUCUUAAACUGUAAUCUCAGGACCAUCAGCAUCACCUAGGAACUUGUCAGAAGUGCCAACGCCCAGGCUCAACCCCAGACCUAUGGAAUCAAAAUUGACGCCACACUGAAUCUGGAGUUGAAGGGGUGCGCCUGCGCAAGGCUCCGCUAUUUGCUCUCUGUCAGCGACUUCACAGGUGGCCUUGGCCCCUAAAAGCCAGUCAUCAAAAGAUCAUGAUCAAAGAGAACCCUUCACACAGUGUGGACCACCUGCCUAGAAAACGCCUCUGUCAGCAUCCUCCCCCUUCCAUUUCCAAUGUCCAGAGUUUCACAUAAUUUCUGUUCUUCUCUCUGAUGCAAGCUCCAGGCAGCCGUCUGUGUUAUUAGAUUUAAGUAUCCAGGUCAACAGCAUCCAUCGCCAGCCCACCGCUCAGCUGGGAGGGCUGUAGCCGAGGCUUCUCGACGCUCGCUGUUUUCAUUUCAGCUUGUGUCUUCCUCCUUCACACAGCAGAGGCGUUCAGCAUCCGGAGGGAGAGGCAGCUGAGAGCAUGAAGCAGGGUU